CCUAUAAAGGCGGACUGGAGACCGUCCCCACGGGAGGGGAAUGUGUAUGCCAUCGACCUGUUACAGAGGGAUGGCCAAGAGAAGUUUGCGAUUACUACCUCAUAGUAUCCAUACAAUCGCAUGAUUGAACUAUUAAAGUCACAACGGUAAAAGAUGAGCAUGCGUCCCAUUAGCUGGUUGGUAAGGUAACGGCUUACCAAGGCUACGAUGGGUAGGGGUCCUGAGAGGGAGAUCCCCCACACUGGUACUGAGACACGGACCAGACUCCUACGGGAGGCAGCAGUGAGGAAUAUUGGACAAUGGGCGCAAGCCUGAUCCAGCCAUGCCGCGUGCAGGAUGACGGCCCUAUGGAUUGUAAACUGCUUUUAUACCAGAAGAAACACUCCUUCGUGAAGGAAUUUGACGGAAUCGUAAGAAUAAGGAUCGGCUAACUCCGUGCCAGCAGCCGCGCGUAAUACGGAGGAUCCCAGCCGUUAUCCGGAAUCAAUCGGGCUUCAAGGGUCCCCCACGCGGCUUUAAUAAGCUC
rnacentral:rRNA from 1 species